rnacentral:lncRNA from 1 species
CCCGCCUCCCUGCUUCCCGCCCUCUGUGGGUGGGAGCCACAGCCCCAGUUGAGCUGUUCCCAGUGCUAGGCUGUGUCCUCACCACUGCUAGAGAGAGCUUUGGGUGCAGAGCCAGCUGGCCAGUCUCAGGCUGCCCUGAAGCCUGUCCCUGCUCUUUGCACUGGGAGGUCCGGCCACCAGCUGCCUUUGGAGAGGUGGCCCAGGAAGUAGGAAGAGAAUGGUGGAGGUGUAUGAGAGAUCACAUACACCACCACCCCCAUUCUCCAAGUCUGGGAGCUGCCUCGGGGCUGUCUGGGUGUGGGAGGAGGGAGCCGAGAGCAGAGCCAAGAGUUCAAGAUGAGGAGCAAGCUAGACGAAGAAGACAGGGAGCCCCAGGUCGCAGCACCUGGCUCCACGCCGCGGUACCAGGCCAGGCCGCAUGAGGUGUGCCACUGUGGGGGUUGUAGAGACAGGUGCUGGGAAGCCAGGGAAGGCUGGGAAGCCAGGCUGGGUAGCCUUGGUGCAGAGGUCAAGGUGACGGGGAUGGGCCAGGCAGGAGAG